UACGUAGGGGGCAAGCGUUGUCCGGAUUCAUUGGGCGUAAAGAGCGUGUAGGCGGCCAGGCAGGUCCGCUGUGAAAACUCGAGGCUCAACCUCGAGAUGUCGGUGGAAACCGUCUGGCUAGAGUCCGGAAGAGGAGAAUGGAAUUCCUGGUGUAGCGGUGAAAUGCGCAGAUAUCAGGAAGAACACCCGUGGCGAAGGCGGUUCUCUGGGACGGUACUGACGCUGAGACGCGAAAGCGUGGGGAGCGAACAGG
rnacentral:rRNA from 1 species